rnacentral:lncRNA from 1 species
GGAGUUCAGAGAUAAUCAUAUCCAAAAUCUCUAUAAAAAUGGAGCUUGCAACCUAAACUUCUCAUUUCUCAAAAGAUGAACAACUCAACAUCUCUCCUUCAACUUGUUUGUUGUACCCUACUUGUCUUUCUUCUUCCAGUAGCCCUCUGCAGCAGGGUUGUCUUCCCAACAGACGCCAAUCUCAUCGACCAAACCUGCAAACAGACACCAAACUAUGCUCUCUGCGUCUCUUCUCUUAAAUCGGACCCUCGGAGCUCCACCGCAGACGUAUCGGGCUUAGGCGUAAUACUGGUGGAUAUAGUGAAGGCCAAGUCGACCGAUACUCUGAACAAAAUCAAUACUCUGCUUAAGCAGAGACCUGGAGACCAGGCCUUGAAAUCUUGCGCUCGGUUUUACGACACGGUUGUAGAAGCUUUGGUGCCUGAAGCGCAACAGGGUUUUAGCUUAGGCAACCCCAAGUUUGCAGAGCAAGGCAUGAACGACGCUGCCGGUGAGGCCAAGACGUGUGAAGAUGGUUUCUCUGGCAAGUCUCCUCUGACGGAUAACAACAAGGCUGUGCAUGAUAUUGCGGAUGUGGCUGCAGCAAUUGCCAGGACAUUGCUUUGAUGUAUUUGUUCAGAUUGUUAUGGUGUUUUGAAUCAUGUUACCUUGAUAAAUUAAUAAAUCGUUU